rnacentral:rRNA from 1 species
UACAGAGGGGGCAAGCGUUGCUCGGAAUCAUUGGGCGUAAAGCGCACGUAGGCGGCUCCAAAAGUCGGAUGUGAAAUCCCUGGGCUCAACCGAGGAAGUGCAUCCGAAACUGCGGAGCUUGAGUAUGGAAGAGGGUCGCGGAAUUCCCGGUGUAGAGGUGAAAUUCGUAGAUAUCGGGAGGAACACCAGUGGCGAAGGCGGCGACCUGGGCCAAUACUGACGCUGAGGUGCGAAAGCGUGGGGAGCAAACAGG